UCUGAUCCUUCAAAUUUAGAAAUAACGAAAUAGGUAAUUGUAUUAAGUAUACAUAUUUAUAAAAAUGUAUAUAUUAAACAUUUAACAAUUCUAAAAAACUAAAUGCUAAACAACUACUUUUAAAUUUAUCUGUGAUUUAUAAAAUAAAAACUUUGAUACCUAUUAUUUGUAUUAUUUUUUUCAAUAUCACUUUAGUAGUAUAUAAUAUUCGUUUAGAAUCAUAAUUUAAUUUUUUUGACCUCUCUUACUCUGUGCAAAAAUCUAAAAUAACGCUGCUAAGGUACCUAGCUAGCCUGUAGGUAUAUUGAAGGUAUUUAUUUAGCUUUCACUGCUUUCAGCGAAUUUUUUGCAAUAUAAUUGCGUUAUUUUGCCCAUAAGAUAUUAUAUACUUCUAAAAUUAUCUAAAAUAGGAGUAAUUGUUUUAAUAUAAAUUUAAAAUUAAGUGGAUUGAAGUUUUCGAAUGAAUCGAUCACGUUUUUUCGGUUACCUAUAUUAUACAGUAUACAUACCAUAGGCUACUCAUUACUUUUGAAGUUUUGCCCCCCUCUGGCCUUCCUCAUUAUUGAAAAUGUAAAUAUCACCUACACUAUAACUAGUUUAGUUCAUUCGAUAAAAUUGAAAUUUAGUUGUUUUAAUGUUUAUUAUAGUUACUAAAUAAGGAAUUCUAAACUGUCAACUUUUCAAAUAUUUUUUUCAAUUUGUUAUCCCACAAUAAUUAAUAAACAUCGAAGUAUUAAAUUAUCAUUGUGUUUUUUAAAGAUUUAUUUUGAUCACUGUAUAUAAAAUAUAUUUUCAAAUCAAGGAAAACUUAUUAUUUUUUUUUUAUCCACCUCGUUUUAAAUAUUAAAUAAUCUGUAGUCUAUAAUUGCUUUUAUCAUUAUUCAUCAUAUACAAAGUUAGUUUUAAAAUGAUAAAUCCAGACUAGUUUAUUUCCAAACUGCCUUCAUACUAACAUAUAAUUACUAGAUAUAAAAUAUCUAUUUGGAACAAAGUUUAAAAUUAAAACAUUUGAAUUUCAAAGUUUCUAAAGGUUUUAGGCUGACUUAUUUGUGUAAACAUAUAGUCCACUAUAGUUCCACGGUCCUUCCACGGUCUUAUAAAAUAAAGUCUGUGAUUCCUAGUUUAUUUUUGAAGAAUCUGACUUACAAUAAAUAGGUUGGCAACGCUGCCAUAAGAUAACAGAUAACAUCGUGGUUCAUUCGCAACUUCACAAGAUUGAUUAAAAUUCAGAAUUGAUUUAGCUCGGCCGUAUUUCUCUGUUUUGAUUUAAACAUUUGGUUGAGUGAAUCGAUAUUGAGACAUUCAGCCGAUCGACAAUAAUUAAUAAUUGGCGAUCCAGAGACUGAGGUACAAGUGUAACUAUAGCCAAUCUCCAGCCUUCCUUUCGUAGCCCAUUGCCCAACUGCUCAACUUUCGUCCCGAACAACCCGUGCACAGAAUGUUUGGAAGACCAGCCCAGGCUGUCCAGCCGAAACCUCGCACUGCCAUGGAAAAGGUCAAGUUUAUCUAUCAGGACGAAAACAUUUGGAACGUAGUGAAGAGCAUAGCAUUUUUCGUUGUUGCUGUCAAGUUCACUCGAGAGUUCCAAGGCGUUGAGCUCAUACACUAAUGUCUGCUUCCGUACGAGAAACUUCGCCGCCUUAUAUAGUCGUACCCUCCCCCCUCUAUCGAUGUACAUACCAACUAAUUAUUUACAUUUAAAUGUAUUACAUGAUAACAUAAUAAUGAUUUUAAGUCUCACUGAAUGGAAAUAUCUUUAUUGUAUGUAAUCGUGAAAAUUAUAAUAUAUUGUACAAGGUCUAGUAACCUUGUGUAAGCACGCAAA